CACAAUUUGUUUUUCCAUUUUCAGCCACAAAUUUUAGUUCUUGGCAGCCAAGUUUCCUCUCCAGCCACUCAAAUUUUCCUCAAUUUUGUGCAGCCACAUUCGUUCCAUUUUUAUCUCUUCAAUAAUUUUUAUCAUUUAUUUCAUGUUUAUCUUUCAAAAUCAAUUCACUUAUCUACUUCCUCGAUCAUUCUCAAUCUUGCAUAAACAUUCUCUGUAAAGCUUUUUCCUAACAACUCACCCCCAAAAUUUAGCCAACUCAAAUACUCUUUUGCUUUUGUAAAUUUCCAGCUUGUUCUUCUCCAAAUCGGUAAGUUUAUUUCCCCAAAUUUCAAUUCAUAAAGAACUUUUGAAACUCUGUCAAUUUCUAAAAUCUCAGCAAUGAAAACAUUCAGCCUCUUGCAUCCAAGAAAUCACACACACCAAAGCAUAAUUAUUCUAUUUUCUGCAAUACUCCCAACACUUUUACUGUUUUACAUGAAAAAUCAAAAGAAAAAGGGAAGAAUUAAAGGAAUAAUAGUGAGAAAUUAGAAGAAAAGGAAAGGAGGGGAUGGGGGAAUUGUUGGUGAAGAUUGUUGUUGCCGGAGAGGUGAAAGGGGGGAGGCAGCCUGACCGGCUGCUGCUGUCUGUCGAGGGGCAGUGUUGGCGCCGGAUCUGGAAAGGGAGAUGACUGGGCUGCGCUGCUGUCGACGCGAGGGCGGCGAUGGUGGCUGCUGCUGUUGUAGACGAGACGGAGAUGAGGACGAAGUGGUGGCGCUGGCAGGCGGCGAAGAUCGCCGCCAGAGAAAGGGUGGACGCCGCUGUUGCGCGGUGAGGGGAAAUAGAGAGAGGGGAGGCGAGAGAUAAGGGAGAGGGAGAGAGGUCGAAGGGAAGGAAGAGAUGAGGGAAGAGGGAGAGAGGUUGAGGAGAGGACAGGGGGAGGCAGAGCCGCCGGCCUCCGGCGGCGGCGUGCCGUCAGGUGGCAGCGGCAGGGGGCCGAGAAGAGGAGAGGGAGGAGGGCUGAGAGAGGGUGAGCUGCGUGUGGAUGUGUGUGGAGUGCGUGAGUUGUGUGUGUGUGUUGGGUGAAAGUUAAAUUAGGGGAGUUGGAAGAGUGGGCUUGGGCCAAGGGGUUUUUUUUAUUUAAUGGGCUCAGAUUAAUUAAGUAAUUGGGCUUCAUUUAAUUUGCCUUGAGCUGCAUAUUUCUUUUAAUUAAUUUGGACUUGGUAUUUUUGAACACUAACCCAAAUUUUAAUAAGAGCAUGCAUUUUAUUAUUUGAUUCAUUAGACCAAUUAUUUUUCAAAUGAUUUUAUGAUAAUAAAUUCUUAAGAUUUAAACUACUAUUAUUAUUAUUUUAAAGUUCAAUUAGGCCCUUAUGUUUAUUAUUUGAAUUUAUCUGACUAGGUGUGGCGCGACUAGGACGUUACUUUUGAUUGAAUUACUCAAAGUUUACCUUCAAGUUCAAGUUACAGGUGUGGGAUUUAUUUCAGUACAUGCUGUGGUUAAUUCUUGUCCAUUUUAAUAUUAUGUGUUUACCAUAUGUGAGUUGCAUUAAAUUAUAUCGCUAGGGGCCCGCUCAAUGGGUCCAGGACAUUAAAGUCCUUGGUAUGCCACAAUGCGAUUUCAUGUUACAGUUAUGGUUGCAACCAGUCGCCAGGGGCCGGCUCAAUCGGUCCAGGACGGAAAGGUCCUUGGUAUGCCACAGUGCGACUUUCAGUCACGAAUGUAUUGAUCAUAUGAGAUUCUUAUUUUAUUAACGUGGACAAUGAUUGCAUGUUCCCACACUGAGUGUACCCUGUAUGCUCAUCCCAUACUUAACAUUUUCAGGUUUUAAAGGCCGGAGGCGCGUGGAAGGUCGAAUGGCG
rnacentral:lncRNA from 1 species